AGGUUUGAGUAACUACUGAAAUGAUAUGUUUUCUUAUAGCCUUUUGGUCAUAUUUAACCUUAUUCAAGGUAUGUAUCAUAUAAUGUAAAUUUCUUUCAAAAAUAUUAUAUGUUUUUUUUAAUUUUACAGUAUUGUAUUGCAUCAGUCGGACAAAUCCUAGGAAUUCGUUCGCAAAAAUCUCUUUUCGGUGGUCUUUUUAUGAUUUUCGUUACUGCGGAAAUUUUACAAUAGAUUGCAUAAAGUUAUAUUAGGCUAUCGUUUCUAAAACAAAUCCCAAGAAGGCUUAGAUAAUGUGUGUUACUAAUAAAACAUAGCUAUUAUAAUGUCACAAAAGAGUAAGGAUAGCGAAGACUUGUCAUUGGUUUUAUUAAGAUAGACCUUACAAACUAUAUAAAGUAAACACCCGCGACAUCGAGGGUCUGUUACACAACUUAAGUAGUUAUUAAAAUUGAGAAAGGAAAUGGGAAAUGUGUCAGAGACAACAACCCGACCCCUUAUUUUGAGCCUGGAUUUUUAGUAUUCAUAUUGUUAUCUGAUAAAGUCAUACUGAUUAAAAGGUUACAAAUAUUCUCUGCUAUCAAAAUCUUUAUGAUGAACCAGUCCCUUCAUGUUAAAGUUUUUGCACUAAGUAAUGUUAGUCUCUGUGCAAUGACAGAUUUUAGGUGGGAUUAUGAUUCGUGUUUAUAGCAAAUCCCAAAAUACAACGUGUGGCGGUGCGUCUGUCUUGGAUGGAACAUAUCAAUCAGGUAGCAAUACACAGUUAGAAGUUUGGUUUUGCAUUUCUGUCCCGGUGGAUUUUUCAAAUAUGAAAGUUAGUGUGUAAUAAAAUUCAUUUUAGACAGCUGAGUACUAAUUUAGCCUUCAGAGAUGGUUUAUAAGAACAUUAAGAUUAUUUUUUACAUUUUGUAUGGGCUAUUUUCUGUUUGACCCUCCGUAUUUUUGUCGAAAUGCGCAUCUGGUGCAAGAAAAUUGGUACCGUCAAUUUUAUUACUACCACUGGGUCGAUGCCUCUGCUGGUGGACUAUUAGUCCGCGAGGGUAUCACCAGCCCAGUAGCCAGUACUUCGGUACUGGCAUGGAAAAUACGGAUUUUUUGUGUUAUUAAAAUUUGCUGUUACAAAAUAUUAGAAAUUAUUUUAAAUUAAGGAAUGUAUCUCCCUCAUGCAAAGCUCUGAUUCCUUUUACGGAUUUGGCUAUACUUUUGGACCUUUGGAUUAUAGCUCUUCAUCUUUUAUAUAAGCUUUGGAUUUCAAAUAUUUUGGCCACGAGCAUCACUGAAGAGACAUGUAUUGUCGAAAUGCGCAUCUGGUGCAAGAAAAUUGGUACCGUUAAUUUUAUUUCAUAGCUUGACCGGCCAUCGGUCCAGAAAUAAUGUAAUGUUUACAAACACUUAUUUUCUGCACGAAGAUUUUGACGCAAUUUUACAAUAAAAUUAGAUGAAAGACAUAUGAUUUUAUAUGUUACGGAUUUUGUACUUACAUGAGCAACUCCACGGGUGCCACAAGCGGGACAGGAUCUGCUUACUCUUCCGUAGCAUCUAGGAUCACCAUCAGUUUUUGGUGGAUUUCGUGUUACUUAGUCUUAGUAUUCUAUGUUGUGUUUUGUGUACUAUUGUUUGACCCUCUAGAUCUGUUAUGAUAUAUGCUUCUAUACGUGACUUUCCAUAUGCAUCGUUCAGGGUUUGGCAGUUAAUUUGCUGUAGACCAAAUUACGGACGUUCAUCGCACCAAAUUCAAAGCUUCAUAUUUGUAAUGCAUCUGGUGUCAAAUUCAGACUGUAUGACGCCUGUACUAAUAUGAAAAGAACUUUUUUUUUAAAGAUUGACAGCGACGAAGGCAAUUUGUUGUGCAAAAAUUUUGGUAAACUCAAUUACUGUUUUCUAUAUUUUUAUAAUCUACUAUUUCUCAAACGAUGAUUUGGUAAAAUUAGUGCCCAAAAUUUUAUUGUAUAAGUAUGCACUAUUAAUCAUGUUUUGUGGCAUUUGAACAUAUGUUUAUAAAAUCCAAGGCUUAGAUCAUCACUGUGUUAUCAAACAAUGUACAGAAAUUUAUGUUUCUAUUUCAACUUUUUUUCUUUCUUUCUUUCUUUCUAGGAAUUAAUUUAUGCAGUAUUCGAAUGUGUCUAGCAUGGGCUGUGAAUGAGGAGAUUUUAACAUUUACUUGCAAAGUUAACCAUUUACAUUAUAAAGUUGAGUUUGCCAAUCAGUUCCACGAAACACAGGGAUAUUGUUUACAUCCUUUCCCAGAUCCAUAUUGUUACACAUACUAUAAAAAUUCAACUAUUACCCAAAACAUUUAUACAAACGAAACAUAUCUAGUGGUUAAAGGACGCAUCAACAACAAAAUCAAUGGACAAUGGUCAUGUCAUCAUGGAACAAAUACAGAUGUAGCAUUUGUCAAUGUCACGGUGCUUCGUUCUAAAG
rnacentral:lncRNA from 1 species